rnacentral:rRNA from 1 species
ACUAAGCGUACACGGUGGAUGCCCUGGCAGUCAGAGGCGAUGAAGGACGUGCUAAUCUGCGAUAAGCGUCGGUAAGGUGAUAUGAACCGUUAUAACCGGCGAUUUCCGAAUGGGGAAACCCAGUGUGAUUCGUCACACUAUCAUUAACUGAAUCCAUAGGUUAAUGAGGCGAACCGGGGGAACUGAAACAUCUAAGUACCCCGAGGAAAAGAAAUCAACCGAGAUUCCCCCAGUAGCGGCGAGCGAACGGGGAGGAGCCCAGAGCCUGAAUCAGUGUGUGUGUUAGUGGAAGCGUCUGGAAAGGCGCGCGAUACAGGGUGACAGCCCCGUACACAAAAAUGCACAUACUGUGAGCUCGAUGAGUAGGGCGGGACACGUGGUAUCCUGUCUGAAUAUGGGGGGACCAUCCUCCAAGGCUAAAUACUCCUGACUGACCGAUAGUGAACCAGUACCGUGAGGGAAAGGCGAAAAGAACCCCGGCGAGGGGAGUGAAAAAGAACCUGAAACCGUGUACGUACAAGCAGUGGGAGCCUCUUUUAUGGGGUGACUGCGUACCUUUUGUAUAAUGGGUCAGCGACUUAUAUUCUGUAGCAAGGUUAACCGAAUAGGGGAGCCGAAGGGAAACCGAGUCUUAACUGGGCGUUAAGUUGCAGGGUAUAGACCCGAAACCCGGUGAUCUAGCCAUGGGCAGGUUGAAGGUUGGGUAACACUAACUGGAGGACCGAACCGACUAAUGUUGAAAAAUUAGCGGAUGACUUGUGGCUGGGGGUGAAAGGCCAAUCAAACCGGGAGAUAGCUGGUUCUCCCCGAAAGCUAUUUAGGUAGCGCCUCGUGAAUUCAUCUCCGGGGGUAGAGCACUGUUUCGGCAAGGGGGUCAUCCCGACUUACCAACCCGAUGCAAACUGCGAAUACCGGAGAAUGUUAUCACGGGAGACACACGGCGGGUGCUAACGUCCGUCGUGAAGAGGGAAACAACCCAGACCGCCAGCUAAGGUCCCAAAGUCAUGGUUAAGUGGGAAACGAUGUGGGAAGGCCCAGACAGCCAGGAUGUUGGCUUAGAAGCAGCCAUCAUUUAAAGAAAGCGUAAUAGCUCACUGGUCGAGUCGGCCUGCGCGGAAGAUGUAACGGGGCUAAACCAUGCACCGAAGCUGCGGCAGCGACACUGUGUGUUGUUGGGUAGGGGAGCGUUCUGUAAGCCUGUGAAGGUGUGCUGUGAGGCAUGCUGGAGGUAUCAGAAGUGCGAAUGCUGACAUAAGUAACGAUAAAGCGGGUGAAAAGCCCGCUCGCCGGAAGACCAAGGGUUCCUGUCCAACGUUAAUCGGGGCAGGGUGAGUCGACCCCUAAGGCGAGGCCGAAAGGCGUAGUCGAUGGGAAACAGGUUAAUAUUCCUGUACUUGGUGUUACUGCGAAGGGGGGACGGAGAAGGCUAUGUUGGCCGGGCGACGGUUGUCCCGGUUUAAGCGUGUAGGCUGGUUUUCCAGGCAAAUCCGGAAAAUCAAGGCUGAGGCGUGAUGACGAGGCACUACGGUGCUGAAGCAACAAAUGCCCUGCUUCCAGGAAAAGCCUCUAAGCAUCAGGUAACAUCAAAUCGUACCCCAAACCGACACAGGUGGUCAGGUAGAGAAUACCAAGGCGCUUGAGAGAACUCGGGUGAAGGAACUAGGCAAAAUGGUGCCGUAACUUCGGGAGAAGGCACGCUGAUAUGUAGGUGAAGUCCCUCGCGGAUGGAGCUGAAAUCAGUCGAAGAUACCAGCUGGCUGCAACUGUUUAUUAAAAACACAGCACUGUGCAAACACGAAAGUGGACGUAUACGGUGUGACGCCUGCCCGGUGCCGGAAGGUUAAUUGAUGGGGUCAGCGCAAGCGAAGCUCUUGAUCGAAGCCCCGGUAAACGGCGGCCGUAACUAUAACGGUCCUAAGGUAGCGAAAUUCCUUGUCGGGUAAGUUCCGACCUGCACGAAUGGCGUAAUGAUGGCCAGGCUGUCUCCACCCGAGACUCAGUGAAAUUGAACUCGCUGUGAAGAUGCAGUGUACCCGCGGCAAGACGGAAAGACCCCGUGAACCUUUACUAUAGCUUGACACUGAACAUUGAGCCUUGAUGUGUAGGAUAGGUGGGAGGCUUUGAAGUGUGGACGCCAGUCUGCAUGGAGCCGACCUUGAAAUACCACCCUUUAAUGUUUGAUGUUCUAACGUGGACCCGUGAUCCGGGUUGCGGACAGUGUCUGGUGGGUAGUUUGACUGGGGCGGUCUCCUCCUAAAGAGUAACGGAGGAGCACGAAGGUUGGCUAAUCCUGGUCGGACAUCAGGAGGUUAGUGCAAUGGCAUAAGCCAGCUUGACUGCGAGCGUGACGGCGCGAGCAGGUGCGAAAGCAGGUCAUAGUGAUCCGGUGGUUCUGAAUGGAAGGGCCAUCGCUCAACGGAUAAAAGGUACUCCGGGGAUAACAGGCUGAUACCGCCCAAGAGUUCAUAUCGACGGCGGUGUUUGGCACCUCGAUGUCGGCUCAUCACAUCCUGGGGCUGAAGUAGGUCCCAAGGGUAUGGCUGUUCGCCAUUUAAAGUGGUACGCGAGCUGGGUUUAGAACGUCGUGAGACAGUUCGGUCCCUAUCUGCCGUGGGCGCUGGAGAACUGAGGGGGGCUGCUCCUAGUACGAGAGGACCGGAGUGGACGCAUCACUGGUGUUCGGGUUGUCAUGCCAAUGGCACUGCCCGGUAGCUAAAUGCGGAAGAGAUAAGUGCUGAAAGCAUCUAAGCACGAAACUUGCCCCGAGAUGAGUUCUCCCUGACCCUUUAAGGGUCCUGAAGGAACGUUGAAGACGACGACGUUGAUAGGCCGGGUGUGUAAGCGCAGCGAUGCGUUGAGCUAACCGGUACUAAUGAACCGUGAGGCUUAACC